UACGAAGGGGGCUAGCGUUGCUCGGAAUUACUGGGCGUAAAGCGCACGUAGGCGGCUUUCUAAGUCGGGGGUGAAAUCCUGGAGCUCAACUCCAGAACUGCCUUCGAUACUGGAGAGCUCGAGUCCGGGAGAGGUGAGUGGAACUGCGAGUGUAGAGGUGAAAUUCGUAGAUAUUCGGAAGAACACCAGUGGCGAAGGCGACUCGCUGGACAGGUAUUGACGCUGAGGUGCGAAAGCGUGGGGAGCAAACAGGGUAUAAGCAACCGAGUACGUCCAGACCA
rnacentral:rRNA from 1 species